UUUUAGGAGUUGAGGAUACAGGGGGCUAAAAUAGUUGUUGCUGGCCUUGUCAUGAGGCAUUGUGCACACUACCUCUGGGGACCUCUUCGAACUAAGGGUGUGUCUAUCAUCUCAUCUCUCACCUGUGCACCUAAUGUAGGUCUGCAUGGUUUUGGUAAAACAGAACUGUGCCAAGUACCUAUGUCUUCAAAUACAUCUUCGUGUAGAAAGUCAUUGAAUGUUUACUAUCAUUGAGUCACGACUCUUAAGAGACGUGGGUCUUUGAGAUAUAAAAAAAAAGUUUAUUACAACUUUCAGCAAUGGAUCUCUUGGCUCUCGCAUCGAUGAAGAACGCAGCGAAACGCGAUAUGUAAUGUGAAUUGCAGAUCUACAGUGAAUCAUCGAAUCUUUGAACGCACCUUGCGCUCCUUGGUAUUCCGAGGAGCAUGCCUGUUUGAGUGUCAGUAAUUUCUCAACCCCUUUCAAUUAACUUUGGAUGGGAGCUUGGAUAGUGGGGGUUUGCAGGAAACUUGGAUCUUUUCUUUAACUAGAAAAAGUCUAGGAUUCGGGCUCUCCUGAAAUACAUUGGCUUGCGGGUCUACUUUCGACUUUGUGCGAUAAGGCUUUCGGUGUGAUA
rnacentral:rRNA from 1 species